AUCCGGUUAGGGUGUGUCACCGAACAGUAUACUGCCCGACGACUGGCAUUCAUCGCUUUACGGUGUGGACUACCAGGGGUAUCUAAUCCUGUUUGCUCCCCACACUUUCGCACCUCAGCGUCAGUAUCGAGCCAGUGAGCCGCCUUCGCCACUGGUGUUCCUCCGAAUAUCUACGAAUUUCACCUCUACACUCGGAAUUCCACUCACCUCUCUCGAACUCUAGACCAGUAGUUUUGGAGGCAGUUCCGGGGUUGAGCCCCGGGAUUUCACCCCCAACUUUCUGAUCCGCCUACGUGCGCUUUACGCCCAGUAAUUCCGAACAACGCUAACCCCCUCCGUAUUACCGCGGCUGCUGGCACGGAGUUAGCCGGGGUUUCUUUACCAGGUACUGUCAUUAUCAUCCCUGGCGAAAGAGCUUUACGACCCUAAGGCCUUCAUCACUCACGCGGCAUGGCUAGAUCAGGGUUGCCCCCAUUGUCUAAGAUUCCCCACUGCUGCCUCCCGUAGG
rnacentral:rRNA from 1 species